rnacentral:rRNA from 1 species
GUYUUUUUGUUAAAAAUUUAAAGUCGGGCCUGCCCACUGAAACUUUAAAUGGCCGUGGUAUUUUGACCGUGCUAAGGUAGCAUAAUCAUUAGUUUUUUAAUUGAAAGCUGGAAUGAAAGGUUUGAUAAAAAAAUGACUGUCUCUAUUUAAUUUUAUUAGAAAUUUAUUUUUAAGUUCAAAAGCUUAAUUUUUAUUAAAAGACGAGAAGACCCUAUAGAGUUUAAUAAUUUAAGGUAAUUUAUAUUUUAGAAUUAAUUCAUUUAUUUUUUAAUAUUAUUUAAUUGGGGUGAUUGAAAAAUUUAAUUAACUUUUUUUAUAUUUGACCAUUAAUUUAUGAUAAUUUGAUCCAAUUUUUUUGAUUAUAAGAUAAAAUUACCUUAGGGAUAACAGCGUAAUUUUUUUAGAAAGUUCAAAUUAAAAGAAAAGAUUGCGACCUCGAUGUUGGAUUAAAAUUAAAUUUUGGUGUAGAAGCUAAAAAAUUUUAAGUCUGUUCGACUUUUAAAAUUUUACA